UACCGGAGAAUGUUAUCACGGGAGACACACGGCGGGUGCUAACGUCCGUCGUGAAGAGGGAAACAACCCAGACCGCCAGCUAAGGUCCCAAAGUCAUGGUUAAGUGGGAAACGAUGUGGGAAGGCCCAGACAGCCAGGAUGUUGGCUUAGAAGCAGCCAUCAUUUAAAGAAAGCGUAAUAGCUCACUGGUCGAGUCGGCCUGCGCGGAAGAUGUAACGGGGCUAAACCAUGCACCGAAGCUGCGGCAGCGACACUAUGUGUUGUUGGGUAGGGGAGCGUUCUGUAAGCCUGUGAAGGUGGCCUGUGAGGGUUGCUGGAGGUAUCAGAAGUGCGAAUGCUGACAUAAGUAACGAUAAAGCGGGUGAAAAGCCCGCUCGCCGGAAGACCAAGGGUUCCUGUCCAACGUUAAUCGGGGCAGGGUGAGUCGACCCCUAAGGCGAGGCCGAAAGGCGUAGUCGAUGGGAAACAGGUUAAUAUUCCUGUACUUGGUGUUACUGCGAAGGGGGGACGGAGAAGGCUAUGUUGGCCGGGCGACGGUUGUCCCGGUUUAAGCGUGUAGGCUGGU
rnacentral:rRNA from 1 species